AGAGUUUGAUCCUGGCUCAGAUUGAACGCUGGCGGAAUGCUUUACACAUGCAAGUCGAACGGCAGCACGGGAGCUUGCUCCUGGUGGCGAGUGGCGAACGGGUGAGUAAUGCGUCGGAACGUACCGAGUAAUGGGGGAUAACGCAGCGAAAGCUGUGCUAAUACCGCAUACGCCCUGAGGGGGAAAGUGGGGGAUCGCAAGACCUCACGUUAUUCGAGCGGCCGACGUCUGAUUAGCUAGUUGGUGGGGUAAUGGCCUACCAAGGCGACGAUCAGUAGCGGGUCUGAGAGGAUGAUCCGCCACACUGGAACUGAGACACGGUCCAGACUCCUACGGGAGGCAGCAGUGGGGAAUUUUGGACAAUGGGGGCAACCCUGAUCCAGCCAUUCCGCGUGAGUGAAGAAGG
rnacentral:rRNA from 1 species